UACGAAGGGGGCGAGCGUUGUUCGGAUUUACUGGGCGUAAAGGGCGCGCAGGCGGCGCAUUUUGUCAGGCGUGAAAGCCCCGGGCUUAACCUGGGGAACUGCGUUUGAUACGGAUGGGCUAGAGUUCGGGAGAGGAGAGUGGAAUUCCCAGUGUAGAGGUGAAAUUCGUAGAUAUUGGGAAGAACACCGGUGGCGAAGGCGGCUCUCUGGACCGAGACUGACGCUGAGGCGCGAAAGCAUGGGGAGCGAACAGG
rnacentral:rRNA from 1 species